rnacentral:lncRNA from 1 species
ACCAAAAGUCUAUUUCUUUUUUCUUUUUUUAAAAUAAAUAAUACAAAUUUAUUUUUAAAAAAAUUUAAAUAUUUACUUUAGUAUAAUUAUUUUUAUAAUUUUUUAAUAUUUUAAUCAAAAUAUUAAUUUAAAUAAAAAUAUUUAUUGUUUAUAAUUGAAAUUUUCAUACUAAUUUUUUUUAAAAAAAUAAACACUUUACUA